GCCCGUGCACCUUGGCGAGAUGAGUUUCAAGCGAGCAGCGCUGUGUAAAUGCUUUCCAGCAAGCUCCGCAGCGGAAUGGGCGGAUCCCUGCACAGAUAGGCAGAGCGGGAGAGGACAGGACAAUGACCUCAGACCAAAGCCAACCCACCUUGCCCUCUGUGAGCAUUCCUCCAUUCCUGCUCCAGGUUCUGCUGACUUCACCUACAUCCCACUAUCUCCAACCUCAGUGUAAACAUGGACCAGGCAUCUGCGUCUUCAUCCUCACCAGGCCUAGUGAGGGCCCCACCUGGGACAUAGGCGUCUCCCCGGAGCUGGUCGGGCAGGUGGCUCCAGUUGGGUGGUUGCAGGCGCCUACUCCUUACCAGGAAGGCACGAGGCAUCACCUCCAGAAAUGGAGCUGGGACAAGUCAUUUAUCAGUGAGCCUGUUUCUCCAUCUGGAAAAUGGAACUAACGAGUCUCCCUAUUUCCGGCUUGUGUUGAAGACCCAUGCAGAUCAUGUGGGGAGAAUGCUGAGCAUGGGAUCUGGCAUGUGGCAGACAUAUAAACAGAGGGGUUGUUAGGAAGUCUCAUGGGGUGAUGUGGCUAGCACAGGAGAGACGGCUGGUCCAAGCAAAUCAAAGCAAUCUCUAUUCUCAUUGCCCAUGACUGCUCUGAAGGGGAAGGCCUCCACGAAGAAAUCCGCAAUUUCUUCCCCACUACCCUGACGGCUGCCCUGCUCUGUGCCUCUCCUACUGGUUGGGUGGGGGUGUACUGCUGAGUGUGUGGCAGACAUGUUGCAAUUGUGAGGGCCUAAACUGGAGGGUGGAACUCGGGCUCAGGGGGUGACAGAGCAGAGGCAUAAUCAAGAGUAACAAAUGUCCCUACAGCAUGUGUUCCCAUAAGCCAGGCGUUGGCUACUUGGAAUUGAAGGCUUAACUAUAAUACAGGGUGGGAGAAGGGGUAAAUUUCACGAGGGAUAGAGCCUCAAGUUGGUCUCCUGGAUGUCCAGGGGCCUGGAUCCUAAACCUUGCCUCAAGGGUCUUAGGUGACAGUGACCAAGCUAGGCCAGGAGAGUGCAUCUCUGGUCUUUCAGGGGUGGCCUGUGGGCCACAGGCCUGGGCAAGGAAUCUCCCGGCAGCGGUGCAGCCCAACUACGAGCCCUGGACCACGUGGGCUCACUAAGGCAGAGAGAGGGAGCUUUGAAAAAUAAACAGAACGGGGCGUCUCCUCAAAACACCAAUAUUAGGGACUUUAUUUAGGGGCGGAAAUCGUGUCAUGAAUGUUUCUUGGAUUUGAAAGUCAUGAAGCAGCAAGGCCCUGCCUGGUGUGAUCUCAAUCUUUCUCCCACCGUCUCUCCCCUCUUCUAUUCCAGCUGUCCUGGCUUUGUUGCUGUUCCUUACAUAUACGUUUGGUCCCCUCAUGGGGCCUUUGCACUGGCUAUUCUGUCUGCCUGUAUACUUUUCUGAGAUGUACAUAUGGCCUGUGUCCUCUAUCAAGCCUCAGCUCAAAUGUCGCCUCAGGAAGGCCUUCCAUUACACUUCAACCAGCACAGUGAAUUCCGUUAGUUAUUGUUGUAAUUGCUGUGUGCUUUGCUCUCUAGAACGUGAACGCCAC